rnacentral:rRNA from 1 species
CGGUGAAGCCCAGCUUGCUGGGUGGAUCAGUGGCGAACGGGUGAGUAACACGUGAGCAACCUGCCCUCCACUUCGGGAUAAGCCUUGGAAACGGGGUCUAAUACCGGAUAUGAGCGCUCAUCGCAUGGUGGGUGUUGGAAAGUUUUUCGGUGGGGGAUGGGCUCGCGGCCUAUCAGCUUGUUGGUGGGGUGAUGGCCUACCAAGGCGUCGACGGGUAGCCGGCCUGAGAGGGCGACCGGCCACACUGGGACUGAGACACGGCCCAGACUCCUACGGGAGGCAGCAGUGGGGAAUAUUGCACAAUGGGCGCAAGCCUGAUGCAGCGACGCCGCGUGAGGGAUGACGGCCUUCGGGUUGUAAACCUCUUUCAGCAGGGAAGAAGCGCAAGUGACGGUACCUGCAGAAGAAGCGCCGGCUAACUACGUGCCAGCCCCCGGCGGUUCGGGUGCUACCAUGCAGUCGAACGGUGA